CGGGGCUCCAUCUCAUGACCCUGAGAUCAUGACCUGAGCUGAAAUCAAGAGUCGGAUGCUCAACUGACUGAGCCCCCCAGGCACCCCUACAGCUGUCUCUUCUUAAUGUCCUUUUUUCUGCAGGCAGCUGUUCCCAGCCCCAGCCCCUCUGCUGCCUUGGGACAGAUCACCACUGCAAGAGAGGAAGCUGCUACUGUGAUGAAUUCUGCCAUGUGGCAUCAGACUGCUGCCCAGACCACCGUGCCCUCUGCGACCCGGGUAACUCGCACGCAAGCUCCUUCCCACCCCCGGCAGAGCUGGAUGCUGUGAGGAGGCAAGCCCCCUCCAUGCACCUCAGGCCAAGGCCAGGAUGUGAACUGGAUGGCUCCCCUGACAAUCCUGAGAUCCUUGCAUUUUGUCCAUUUCAGAUCACAAGUGCCCACACGUUCCUUCCAGCUUUGUUUCCCCACGGCUCCUGACCACCUGCUUUCCCCCUCUGAGCUACUUUCCCAGAUCCCCAAAGGGAGCGGUUAAGCUGCUGGUGGUGGGGGAUCACGGUGGGAAGUGGGGUGAUUGGGCUCCACCUGACUGCCCUUCCAUCCCUAGCAAUAUAGAGGCUUCUUGACCUGACCCAUGUAGGCUUUUGAGGGAACACAGGAGUCUACAGAGAGGGGCUAAGGAUGUUAGGCAGCAGGAGGGGCUAUGGGAGUCAGGAAUGAGGCCACGAGCUUUCACCUUGUGUUUCUCAGCUUCCCAGAAUACCAAGAUGGUGCUGCGGGUGGUGCUGAGGAUGGAGAAGCCCCCAGGCCCUGCAAGACGCCAUCUAGGCUGGAUGCAGAGCAUAGUCCAGCAGCUUCUCCAAAGCAGCCUCCCGGGGAUGCCCCUCUCCAUCUCCGUGAAGGGAAUCAAGAAGAGAGCCUGACAUCUCCGGUGAAGCUCCUCCCUGCCUGCCCCUCCCCCGCCCCCCGACGGGCCUGCUGGGGCCGCAGCACUGGACCCAGGGUGCCUGUCUCUUGGCUUCUAUCCUGCGUCCUUCAUUGUUGGCUCAAACAGAGGAAAACAGCAGUCUGCACUUGUUGUAAACACAUUUAAAUCAGCCAUACAGAUUAUAAAACAUAAAUCUGGCUCAUGGAAUUCAUUGUUUGUGGUGGUUACAAUGAAUAUAGCAAACAUUUCUUGAAAGCGG
rnacentral:lncRNA from 1 species